rnacentral:piRNA from 1 species
CUGAAAAUGCAGAUAGGAAC